GUUUAAAGGGUCCGCAGGCGGCCUGUUAAGUCAGAGGUGAAAUCCAACAGCUCAACUGUUGAACUGCCUUUGAUACUGAUAGGCUUGAGUUAUUGUGAAGUGGUUAGAAUGUGUGGUGUAGCGGUGAAAUGCUUAGAUAUCACACAGAAUACCCAUUGCGAAGGCAGAUCACUAACAAUAUACUGACGCUCAUGGACGAAAGCGUGGGGAGCGAACGGGAUUAGAUACCCUGGUAGUCCACGCUGUAAACGAUGUUCACUCGCUGUUGGCGAUACACUGUCAGCGGCCAAGCGAAAGCAUUAAGUGAACCACCUGGGGAGUACGAUCGCAAGGUUGAAACUCAAAGGAAUUGACGGGGGCCCGCACAAGCGGUGGAGCAUGUGGAUUAAUUCGAUGAUACGCGAGGAACCUUACCAGGGCUUAAAUGGCAUUUGCCUUUUGCCGAAAGGUGAUUUUUCUUCGGAACGAAUGUCAAGGUGCUGCAUGGCUGUCGUCAGCUCGUGCCGUGAGGUGUUGGGUUAAGUCCCGCAACGAGCGCAACCCCUAUCUCUAGUUGCCAGCAUUUAGUUGGGGACUCUAGAGAGACUGCCUACGUAAGUAGUGAGGAAGGUGGGGACGACGUCAAGUCAUCAUGGCCCUUACAUCCUGGGCGUCACACGUGCUACAAUGGUCGGUACAAAGAGCAGCGACUUGGUGACAAGAAGCAAAUCUCAAAAAGCCGAUCUCAGUUCGGAUUGGAGUCUGCAACUCGACUCCAUGAAGGUGGAUCGCUAGUAAUCGCAUAUC
rnacentral:rRNA from 1 species